GCCCGGGAGGAAGGUGGGGAUGACGUCAAAGUCCUCAUGGCCCUUAUGCCCAGGGCUACACACGUACUACAAUGGUCGGUACAAAGGGCUGCUACCCCGUGAGGGCAAGCCAAUCCCAAAAAGCCGGCCUCAGUUCGGAUUGUAGUCUGCAACUCGACUACAUGAAGGUGGAAUCGCUAGUAAUCGCGGAUCAGCAUGCCCGCGGUCCGAAUACGUUCCCGGGCCUU
rnacentral:rRNA from 1 species